GACAGAGGUGCUAAGCGUUAGGCGGAAUCACUGGGCUUAAAGCGUGUGUAGGCGGCCCGUUAAGUGUCUUGUGAAAUCCCCCGGCUCAACCGGGGAACUGCUGGGCAUACUGGCGGGCUUGGGUCGCUCAGGGGCAGACGGAACAGGCGGUGGAGCGGUGAAAUGCGUAGAGAUGUGGAGGAACACCGAUGGCGAAGGCAGCCCCCUGGGCCAAUACUGACGCUCAUGCACGAAAGCGUGGGGAGCAAACAGG
rnacentral:rRNA from 1 species